rnacentral:rRNA from 1 species
UACGUAGGUGGCAAGCGUUGUCCGGAUUUAUUGGGUUUAAAGGGUGCGUAGGCGGCCUUGUAAGUCAGUGGUGAAAUAUCUCAGCUUAACUGAGAGGGUGCCAAUGAUACUGCAGGGCUUUGAGUACAGAUGAGGUAGGCGGAAUUGACGGUGUAGCGGUGAAAUGCUUAGAUAUCGUUCAAGAACACCUAUAGCGAAGGCGCUUACUAAGCUGUAACUGACGCUGAGGCACGAAAAGUGUGGGGGAUCAAAACAGG